AAUGAACGCUGGCGGCAUGCCUUACACAUGCAAGUCGAACGGCAGCAUGACCUAGCUUGCUAGGUUGAUGGCGAGUGGCGAACGUGUGAGUAAUGCAUCGGAACGUGCCUUUUAGUGGGGGAUAACGUAGCGAAAGUUACGCUACUACCGCAUAUUCUCUGAGGAGGAAGGCAGGGGACCUUCGGGCCUUGCGCUAGAAGAGCGGCCGAUGUCGGAUUAGCUAGUUGGUGAGGUAAAGGCUCACCAAGGCAACGAUCCGUAGCGGGUCUGAGAGGAUGAUCAGCCACACUGGAACUGAGACACGGCCCAGACUCCUACGGGAGGCAGCAGUGGGGAAUUUUGGACAAUGGGCGCAAGCCUGAUCCAGCCAUGCCGCGUGAGUGAAGAAGGCCUUCGGGUUGUAAAGCUCUUUCGGCUGGGAAGAAAUCGCACCCUCUAAUACAGGGUGUGGAUGACGGUACCAGCAUAAGAAGCACCGGCUAACUACGUG
rnacentral:rRNA from 1 species